rnacentral:tRNA from 1 species
GCCGGCGUGGCGAAACUGGCAGACGCGUGGGUCUCAAAAACCCAUGAGAGCAAUCUCGUAUCGGUUCGACUCCGAUCGCCGGCACCA